rnacentral:rRNA from 1 species
GAUGAACGCUAGCUACAGGCUUAACACAUGCAAGUCGAGGGGAAACGCCAUUGAAGCUGGCUUCGAUGGUAGUCGACAGGGGCACGGGUGAGUAACGGGUAUCCAACCUGUCUUUCACCAAGGGAUAACCCGUCGAAAGUCAGUAUAAUACCUUAUGCAGGCGCCGGAAGUCAUUGGAUGAGGACGAAAGAUUUCAGCGGGGAGAGGUGGGGAUGCGUCUGAUUAGCUUGUUGGCGGGGUAACGGCCGACCAAGGCCAAGAGCAGUAGGGGUUCUGAGAGGAGGGUCCCCCCCAUUGGAACUGGGCACCGGUCCGAACUCCGCCGGGAGGAAGCAGUGAGGAAUAUUGGUCAAUGGGCGAGAGCCUGAGCCAGCCAAGUAGGGUGCAGGAGGACGGCCCUAUGGGGUGUAAACUGCUUUUAUGCGGGGAUAAAGUGAGGGACGUGUCCUUCAUUGCAGGUACCGGAGUAAUAAGGACCGGCUAAUUACGUG